rnacentral:rRNA from 1 species
AUUGAACGCUGGCGGCAGGCCUAACACAUGCCAGUCGAACGAGCAGCGGACGGGCGAGCAAGGCCUGGGAAACCGCGUGGUGGAAGGGGAUAACAACAGGAAACGGUAGCUAAUACCGCAUUCCAUCAGAUGUGCCCAGAUGGGAUGAGCUUGUGGGUGGGGUAACGGCGCACCAAGGCGACGAUCCCUAGCUGGUGUGAGAGGAUGACCAGCCACACUGGAACUGAGACACGGUCCAGACUCCUACGUGAGGCAGCAGUGGGGAAUAUUGCACAAUGGUCGCAAGCCUGAUGCAGCCAUGCCGCGUGUAUGAAGAAGGCCUUCGGGUUGUAAAGUACUUUCAGCGGGGAGGCGUUACCCGCAGAAAAAGCACCGGCUAACUCCGUGCCAGCAGCCGCGGUAAUUC